rnacentral:rRNA from 1 species
UACAGGGGGUGCAAACGUUGCUCGGAAUCAUUGGGCGUAAAGCGCACGUAGGCGGUUCGUUAUGUCGGAUGUGAAAGCCCUUGGCUUAACCGAGGAAGUGCAUCCGAAACUGGCGAGCUAGAGUACUAAAGAGGAUCGCGGAAUUCCCGGUGUAGAGGUGAAAUUCGUAGAUAUCGGGAGGAACACCGGUGGCGAAGGCGGUUUUCUAUUUUACUCCUGACGCUGAGGCGCGAAAGCAAGGGGAUCAAACAGG